GUCCCUGUGGCCUAAUGGAUAAGGCGUCGGACUCCGGAUCCGAAGAUUGCGGGUUCAAGUCCCGCCAGGGUCG
rfam:Nippostrongylus brasiliensis genome assembly, scaffold: NBR_scaffold0000001